rnacentral:rRNA from 1 species
GACGUAGGGUGCGAGCGUUGUCCGGAUUUACUGGGCGUAAAGAGCGCGCAGGCGGCUGGUCAAGUCCGAUGUGAAAUCUCCCGGCUCAACUGGGAAACUGCAUCGGAAACUGAUCGGCUUGAAGAUGGGAGAGGGUAGUGGAAUUCCCGGUGUAGUGGUGAAAUGCGUAGAUAUCGGGAGGAACACCAGUGGCGAAGGCGACUACCUGGCCCAUUCUUGACGCUGAGGCGCGAAAGCUAGGGGAGCGAACGGG